CUUCCAUAAUUACUCAUCUGUUCAUUAAUAAUCACAUAUCUACCAAAAUGAACUGCUUGCACAGUCUUUCACAUGCCUCAGGUUUGUAACCAAGAUCAUUGUACUGACUUCCCCCAGGUUAACCACAGAGGAAAGAAAUGGCUUAUCUCCUUUGGUAUCCCAAAUUUGGUGGACUAGCACGUGAGGUUCUGCAAGGCUCAGAAAGCAAGAUCACACCGCCAAGUGCGAAAGGCCUACUUCAUCUGUCUGGGAUACCUACCAGCUCAUUUGAAGAACUUCUAAUUACUUCAUGCUUCAUCCUCACAGCUCUGCCUUUUCCCUAAAGCAGCUACUUUGAAUGUAUUCACAAACUGACAGAAAACAGCUAGAUGAAGGCCAAAAUUUUGCAAUGGGCUAAGAGAAAUGAGAGAAAUUUCCACUGGUCUUUCAAAAAUAUGUGCCAAAGGUCUUGCAGGAACUCUUCUUACCGUGUGAUAUGGAAUGUUCUCAUCUUACAAGAGGAAAAAAAUCAAGACAUAAAGCUACUGUGGAACAUACCAGCCUCAGCAGGUCCAUCUAUCAGCAGCAGAGAAGCUAACAUACUAAAUCUCUUCAUCAUUGAAAUGAGGCUGAAGAUUACACACUUUAAAAUGGAGUUAGAAUCAGACAUCGUCCCCAUUUUCACUCCUGAGACAUCCUGGAACACAAGCAGUUAAAUAAAAUGUAAAGUAUGCUGCAUGACUAUGAAGUGAUUUUCUGACAUUUUUUCAUAAUUGUUGGCCUGUAUUUGAAUUAAAGGUACAAUUAGAGGUGAUUUUAUUAUAGAUGUGUGAAAAGAAUUCUCCCAGCUCUAAGCAAUUAUUCUCUCCCCUGAAAUACACCUGGUUAAUAAGAUACAAUCUGUGAACAUGGAAGAGGAAGUACAGCCAGUUCUCUUUCUUCUCUUUCCCAGAAGCAGUUGUUCAUUAGAAUUUUGUUCAAAACAUUUGUCUCACUUGAGGUUCCACCCCUCAACACUAUUUCUCAACAUGUAGUCUUCAAAAAAAAAAAAAAAAAAGUGAGGACUUUAUUUGCCCUAGGUGUUCUUCUCUUGUCAGCCCAAAUUCAAUUCAAUCUUUCUAAUCUGAAAGCUAUGCAAAGGCAUAGGUUCCUG
rnacentral:lncRNA from 1 species